rnacentral:lncRNA from 10 species
UUCACUCUUAUAUCCUAUUCUACUUCUUUUCCAUUCUUUACGUUCUGUUGAAAUAAUUUUUUUUGAAACACAAUUUCUCACCCACUAUGUUGGUGUCUGGUUGUUAUUAGUGGAACUCUUGAUCCAUACUGUCUUAACCAGCCCUGUUUAACUGGUGUCCUGCUGUUGCCCUAGGGCUACUAGCAUCAUGUUUUGAGGAGCUGCCUCAGACUGUGUAAUGAUGUGAAGUGGAAAUUUGAAAACUUUCAUUGUAACCAUUUUGUCAACUGCAGUCUAGGCAGGGUACAGACCUCCCCAGUAUCCCUGCUGCCACCCCCCCUCCAACCGAGACUGCAAGUGUCAAACACAAUUACCAGUUCAACCAUCUUCAGCAUCACCCAGGGCUUUCUCUAUUUUGUUGCUUAGACUUUGUUGCUGAUAUUGUGUCUUUCUCCUUCUUUUUCCCUUCUAUAAUUUUCCAGGGUUGAUUUGUGAAGCAGAGAACAGCAGCCCAAAUUUGAUUGUCACGUUGGCAGCCACAGACAAUCUGAAAGGGAAAAGGAAGACUUCGAGGGAGUUCCAGGGAAAAAGCUUCUCCAGAAUGAUCA